GAAUCACACUAUUUUUUCCCAAUCCUCUUUGUUAUCUUGUUGUUUGCAUGUUCCCUAUUUCGGUUAUAUCCUAUCCUAUCCCCCCGCGGCGCAUUAUAGCAGCACCGCCGUGAGAAAACAAAAAUGAAGCAUCCAGUAGCAGAAGCGAACGAGUUGAGUCCGUUCGGCACACUGAGUCAAUCCGAGUUCUACUCUCACCACUCAGUAACUCACAACUCCGAAUUCAUUACAAAUUCACGAGGCUUAAAGCUUUUCACUCAAUGGUGGUCCCCACUUCCUCCGACGAAAAUCAUCGGCGUCGUUUGUGUCGUCCAUGGAUUCACCGGAGAAUCGAGCUGGUUUGUUCAACUCACAGCUGUUCACAUCGCGAAAAACGGAUUUAUCGUUUGUGCGAUUGAUCAUCAAGGUCAUGGAUUCUCCGAUGGAUUAAUUGCUCAUAUUCCUGAUUUAAAUCUCGUUGUUGAUGACUGUAUUAGUUUCUUCGAUUCCUUUCGGGAUCUCCAUGUUCCGCCGUCUCUGCCGUCGUUUCUCUAUGCUGAAUCCCUCGGCGGUGCUAUCGCGCUUCUAAUCACUCUCCGGGAAGGCGAUUCUGCUCCCCGCCGGUCGUUUGACGGCGUCGUUUUGAAUGGAGCUAUGUAUGGGAUUAGCAAUAAGUUCAAACCGCCGUGGCCUCUAGAACAUCUACUUGGUAUCGCUGCCGUUUUGAUUCCGACUUGGCCCGUGGUCCCCACUCGCGGCUCGUUGCCUUUGGUUGCAUUCAAGGAGGAGUGGAAGAGGAAAUUGGCAAUAGCAAGUCCAAGGAGACCACUUAUAAAACCACGCCCCGCGACGGCGCGUGAGUUAAUGAGAGUAUGUAGGGAGCUGCAAGGGAGAUUCGAAGAAGUGAAAGUACCAUUUCUGAUCGUCCACGGCAGCGAUGAUGUCAUCUGCGAUCCCGCGUGCGCGGAGGAGCUAUAUCGCCGAUCGACAAGCAAGGACAAAACACUGAAGAUAUAUCCAGGUAUGUGGCACCAGCUGGUUGGAGAACUGGAGGAGAAUGUGGAGCAAGUGUUCGGAGAUGUCGUUGAGUGGCUUAAAAUGAGAGCCGACGUUUCAACCGGCGACAAGGCCACUGUUGACGGUGGCGCGUAGGAGUGGGAGUUGGUUGGGAUAUUCUAGUUGGGAAGUGGUUAAUAAUAUGCCAGUAAAAGUAAGUUAAAGAUCAGUAAACAUUGUGAUCAGUAAGUUAAAGAACCAAAAAAUAAAUUUGUACCAGGCCAUUUAUGUCAAAACUUUAUUAGCCAUGUGACUAUUUAAACUUGUAUUAAUGCAAUAUUUGUUGAUUUAGUUAUGUUGAUAUUAAUUUU
rnacentral:misc_RNA from 1 species